rnacentral:tRNA from 1 species
GGCCGGCCAGUCUAGUGGUAUGAUUUUCGUAUUGUGUGCGUGAGGUCCCGGGUUCAAAUCCCGGGUCGGUCC